AGCGUAGGUGGCUCGAUAAGUCAGAUGUGAAAUCCCCGGGCUCAACCUGGGAACUGCAUCUGAUACUGUUGAGCUAGAGUAUGUGAGAGGAAGGUAGAAUUCCAGGUGUAGCGGUGAAAUGCGUAGAGAUCUGGAGGAAUACCGAUGGCGAAGGCAGCCUUCUGGCAUAAUACUGACAACUGAGGCUCGAAAAGCGUGGGUAGCAAACA
rnacentral:rRNA from 1 species